CCUGGGGGAGUGGGUGGGGAAGCAUGGAACUCUGAGUUUCUUGGGUUUAGGUGUGAUUCUACUGUUCCUCCAUCUUGGACUUUCUGCUUAGAUUGCCCACUCUUCAAAUUGUACAAGAAGUCUGAAGUCAGGAAAUCAGGAAGUCAGGGCUAAUAGGGCAACUUCCUGGUCAUCAGAGACCCAAGAUCCCUGUUGUUCACUAUGUCUGUUGAAGCUAGAGAUACCACAUUCCAGGUGCUGGAACUUCCCUGGUGGUGCAGUGGACAGGAAUCCAAUUGCUAAUGCAGGGGGCAACACAGGUUUGAUCCCUGAUCCGGGAAGAUUCCACAUGCCUUAGAGCAACUAAGCCCGUGGGGCACAACCACUGAAGACCGCACGCCACUACAGUGAGAACCCCAAGCACCACAACGAAGAGUAGCCCCCACCCGCCACAACUAGAGAAAGCCCCCGCACAGCAAUGAACACCCAGCACGAUCAAAAAU
ensembl:lncRNA